rnacentral:rRNA from 1 species
AUUGAACGCUGGCGGCAGGCCUAACACAUGCAAGUCGAGCGGAUGAAGGGAGCUUGCUCCUGGAUUCAGCGGCGGACGGGUGGGUAAUGCCUAGGAAUCUGCCUGGUAGUGGGGGAUAACGUCCGGAAACGGGCGCUAAUACCGCAUACGUACUGAGGGAGAAAGUGGGGGUUCUUCGGACCUCACGCUUUCAGAUGAGCCUAUGUCGGAUGAGCUAGCUGGUGGGGUAAAGGCCUACCAAGGCGACGAUCCGUAACUGGUCUGAGAGGAUGAUCAGUCACACUGGAACUGAGACACGGUCCAGACCCCUACGGGAGGCAGCAGUGGGGAAUAUUGGACAAUGGGCGAAAGCCUGAUCCAGCCAUGCCGCGUGUGUGAAGAAGGUCUUCGGAUUGUAAAGCACUUUAAGUUGGGAGGAAGGGCAGUAAGUUAAUACCUUGCUGUUUUGACGUUACCAACAGAAUAAGCACCGGCUAACUUCGUG